rnacentral:lncRNA from 1 species
UCUGGCUCAGAUGCACAUCUAGCGAAGUCAAAGGAGAAAUUCUAACAUGAUAUCUGAUCUCAGCUCUCUGGUCCAGAAUGAAUGUGUUGGCUUUAGUAAUUUGCUAAACUGCUUCUGGAUUGAAAGAACUAGUUUAAUUUAUUUAUCUAUUCUAAAACCAUCCAUUGUCUAUUUACUAUAUGCUAAGCCCUGGACUUUUGCUUGAGAAUACUAAGAAAAAUAAUACCUAUUUCCUACCUUUAAAAGAAUCAUAGUCUAGGGAGAGAGAGAGACAAAAUCAUGUACGGCCGGCCUCACUAGGAUGUGAUCAGUACUCUAGAGGAGACAAAGAGCUAUAAGAGCCUACAAGAAGGAGGGAAUAAUGCUGCAUGGGAGGAAGUGGGAAUUGAGAAAGCUGCUGCAGUGGAAAUGCUGGCCUGCUGUCACCUACAAUAUGCUACUCAGAAGUGGAAGUCCUAUGGCAUAGUUUUGGAUUAUGUUCCUGGAAGCCCAGAAUCAAAGGCCAUGAUGGAAAGAAGGAGUUGGAGGGAAAGCACAAAUCUGGAAAUGAGUAAUUACUCUAAAUAGACUAUUUUCCAAUAAAGUCACUAUGAUAUGUUUGUUGGCAAAGUUGGAAAAGCAGCUUGAGAGCCAAGAUGAGGUCAGCUUCUUGGGGCCAGAGUUCAGAAAGAAGAAAGAAUUUGGAGGAGGAAAUGGAAGAUGUUCAACACAGGUCAAAGAGCAAGAGUGAAGGGUGGAAUUACCUGAUUUGCUUCAUAUCAUGACUUGGAAAUGUGAUUUUGGCAGCACCAAGAUCAGAUCCAUUUCAUGGGAGAAGAUUCUCAGAAACCAAAUUCAAAACACCGAUGAUCUAAAGUCAGAAUAAUAACUUAAUAAUUCACAACGAGAAAAGAAAAAAAUCUCACAUGAGAUGGGAUACUUGUAUUGACAUCAAUGUUCUUUGCUCCUGGUGGUCAGGAAUCUUCUGACAUCUUCAACUGCUCUGUGAAAUCUACUGUAAAAUGCUGAGACAAGGAGAGAGAACCCACCAAACCUCUGCAAUCUGUCAUACUUUCCUAGAUGAAUAUUAAAUGUUUGGGAAAAAGAGAAACAGGCCACACCAGACAUUUUAGUGACUCCAGAAUGUCCUGACUCAGGAACAAGGAAACAUUUUGGACCACAAAGCAAUUCUAUUGUAGUGAAUAUCCUCCAGUUUUGAAUCUGUUAACAUUCUGAAUUUGAUAUCUUUUCUCUAACACCUGAAGAUCUUCUCUGAUGAUUCUGGCUUCUUUCCUUGUGCCUCUGGCUUCCUGUUCUUCUCUCUUGGUUCCCUGAAUACGUGUGCUUCUGAAUACUUGCUCAUCAGUUGACCUUCAUUUUGAACCUGGAUGCAAGCAUUGUGUUCACAUGUUGUUUUCCCUUUCUCUCUGAUAUGCAGACUUCGGACCUACCCAUUGUCACUUCUAAGUUCCCCAAAG